AUACGGGAGGCAGCAGUGGGGAAUAUUGGACAAUGGGCGAAAGCCUGAUCCAGCAACGCCGCGUGAGGGAUGACGGCCUUCGGGUUGUAAACCUCUUUCAGUAGGGACGAAGCGUGAGUGACGGUACCUACAGAAGAAGCACCGGCCAACUACGUGCCAGCAGCCGCGGUAAUACGUAGGGUGCGAGCGUUGUCCGGAAUUAUUGGGCGUAAAGGGCUCGUAGGCGGUUUGUCGCGUCAGGAGUGAAAACUCGGGGCUUAACUCCGAGCCUGCUUCUGAUACGGGCAGACUAGAGGUAUGCAGGGGAGAACGGAAUUCCUGGUGUAGCGGUGAAAUGCGCAGAUAUCAGGAGGAACACCGGUGGCGAAGGCGGUUCUCUGGGCAUUACCUGACGCUGAGGAGCGAAAGUGUGGGGAGCGAACAGGAUUAGAUACCCCGGUAGA
rnacentral:rRNA from 1 species